rnacentral:lncRNA from 1 species
CAUGCCAAGAUCUGAUUGAGAUCAGAUCUAAGAUAAGAAAAGAGAGAGAAAAAGAGAAGAAGAAGGAUUCUUCUUCUCUUCAUGAUGAUCUGAUUCAGAUCCCGUCGGAUCUGCAUGAAAGAGUUCACGCAGCGAUCUCUUUCUUCAAAAUCUAGAAGAAGAGAUCUAGAUCCAAGGAUGAAGAGCGAGAUCUGCAAGGUGCUAGUACAUCGAUGAUCUCAGUGCUCCGAUCAGAUGGCUCCAUGUGGAUACCAGCA